rnacentral:tRNA from 1 species
GGUAAAAUGGCCGAGUAUCAGGUGGCGGUUUGUAGCACCGUGUACAGAGGUUCAAUUCCUCUUUUUACCA